GACGUAGGAGGCGAGCGUUGUCCGGAUUUAUUGGGCGUAAAGAGCCCGCAGGCGGCUUGGCAAGUUUGAGGUGAAAUCUCCCGGCUUAACUGGGAGGGGGCCUCGAAAACUGCCAGGCUUGAGGCAUGGAGAGGGAUGCGGAAUUCCCGGUGUAGUGGUGAAAUGCGUAGAUAUCGGGAGGAACACCAGUGGCGAAGGCGGCAUCCUGGCCAUGUCCUGACGCUCAGGGGCGAAAGCGUGGGGAGCAAACCGG
rnacentral:rRNA from 1 species